rnacentral:rRNA from 1 species
ACGAACGCUGGCGGCGUGCCUAAUACCUGCAGGUAGAACGCUGAAGAGAGGAGCUUGCUCUUCUUGGAUGAGUUGCGAACGGGUGAGUAACGCGUAGGUAACCUGCCUUGUAGCGGGGGAUAACUAUUGGAAACGAUAGCUAAUACCGCAUAACAAUGGAUGACACAUGUCAUUUAUUUGAAAGGGGCAAUUGCUCCACUACAAGAUGGACCUGCGUUGUAUUAGCUAGUAGGUGAGGUAAUGGCUCACCUAGGCGACGAUACAUAGCCGACCUGAGAGGGUGAUCGGCCACACUGGGACUGAGACACGGCCCAGACUCCUACGGGAGGCAGCAGUAGGGAAUCUUCGGCAAUGGGGGCAACCCUGACCGAGCAACGCCGCGUGAGUGAAGAAGGUUUUCGGAUCGUAAAGCUCUGUUGUAAGUCAAGAACGGGUGUGAGAGUGGAAAGUUCACACUGUGACGGUAGCUUACCAGAAAGGGACGGCUAACUACGUG